rnacentral:lncRNA from 1 species
AUAAUCUUCCAUUUCUUUCUGACUCUCACCCUCCACCAUUGCAACACCAGUGAACAGAUGCCAGGAAAUUCUGAGGCUGCCUCUCAGUCCGGCGGGUGCUCAGAACUGAGCUGCCUCAUCUGUGUGAGCCUUCUGCCUCUUCUUUGAGCCCCAUUUUUGGUGCGUAACCCCCUGCUUCACUGGAAAGGAGAGCCAGCCUUUGGGAAGCCACCCACUCUUGAGCAGCGCCUCCCAGCAACUUAGCCACGUGUUCGAGUUCCUGAGGAUCGAGCAAGAAGGAAAGCCAGACGGAUGCUUAGCCUAUGAGGGCAGCAGACUUUGAGUCCUGACAGAGAAGGAGAAGAUAGCUCAGUCCAAACCCCUUCCCCCAGGCACAGCAGGGUUAAGUGUCUGUGAGCAGAGAGGGAAUCCCAGGCCGCCUGGAACUUGAGACUUCCCAGCUGAGAGCCAGCUCAAGUGAGCGAGAUGCAGACCCAGACAUGCUACAGCGGGCACCGAGGUUGCGAAUGCAGGCCUUGAGGAUAGCUGCCACCACAGCCCCACAGCAGCCAUGCCACGCUCCAACUCUGAGACCUGAGAACACACCUGAGACUGAGGCUUCAGACUGUACCAGAGACUGCCUGUUUUGAUGACUGCAAACACUUCACCCCAUUCUCCUACAAGAAUGUCUCCCUGCAUCUUUCAGGACAAGCUCUUUGGGUCACAGAUGUAAAUGAGUGUAAGUGUUUGAAGAUUAUGGGGUGCUGGGCAGACAGUAAAGGCCAGAUCCAGCCCUGUGGCCAGGCUGGUGCCUGUUAAAAGCACUGUCCUCAGAAGGAGCCUCAUCUUCACUGCAAUGAGACUUGUCAGGCCAGGCUGCCCUGCCCAAAAUCAGAUAAUUCUCAGUGACAGAUAAAGUGACAUCAAGUCAGAAUGAUAGUACAGGUGUAGUGAGGGGCUAGGACCAGAAAGAACUACGAUGGGGACAUGCCCAAGAUAUUGCAGCCUGCCCUGAAGCUUGAAGCCAGUUUUAGCUGCUCUUGGGACUCCGUCCCAAGAACUUACACCUCAGACACUGCUGAGUUCCCUGCCCUCCGGAGUGUGGGAGGAUUGGGGCCUCAGAACUCAGUAUAGGUUCCUACCCUGACCUUCUGGGCCCCAGAACCUCCUUCCCUCCACUGCCAGUACAUCACAUUGUGUCCUGUGUCUAAUCCUCACAGGAGCUCAGAAGGGUUGUGGGUGUGCGUCUCGGACAGCCAGGACACACUGGGAGCUUGACAUAACAUAGUCUGC